AUAAAGCAUAGUUAUCAAAUUGAGAUUUCGAUCAUAAAUCAGAAGAUAUGUUUUUCAAAUUGUGAGUCAAAUCUUAUUAUGAAUUGUAAGAUACAUUACCGAUAAAGAAUGGCAAUUUUAUAAAAAAAUAAAAUAAUAAUUGACAUAGCAAAAUUGGGAUUCAGUAGAAUAAAUUGGGAUUUUUCAUAGUGAAUCAGAAUUCAUCACAAUGAAUCAGAAUUAAAUGUGGGAUAUAGUGAAUCAGAAUUCAUCACAAUGAAUCAGAAUUAAAUGUGGGAUAUAGUGAAUCAGAAUUCAUCACAAUGAAUCAGAAUUAAAUGUGGGAUUCGUGUACAAAAUAGAUACACACACUAAGGAUUUGUAUCGAAUGGGUCAUGUCUUGUAUCAAAUUGAGAUACGACUUGCAAAUAUCGUACGAUACUGAUAACCAUGGUAUGAAGUAUCAAAAUAAGAACCCCAAACCUUAUUAUCAAGUGUAUUGCCACACCCUCAAGUAGGGCUGUGCAAAAACUGUUGACCCGCCCGAAACCCGGUAAACCCGACAAUGGAAAAGGGAAACGGGCGGAUUGAAGUGGGUCACGGGUCAACUAUGUACAUUUUUCAGUUUCACAUGGGUGGAAUUGGACGGGUGCGGUUUGAAAUUUUUUGAUCCGAUGGGACUCAAACCCGACCGAAUGUGACCCAAUUAGUAUAAUAGAGUACUAGUAUCUUUAUAAAAUGUCCAAUCACAAUGUAUGUAGAACACAGCUAUAUGUUCCUUGAAACAAGAAAAAGCAUACAUUGGAACCAUAAAAGUAAAUGUUACUGCUACACGUUUAAUAUUUUUGCAGAAGUCACAUGCCUACAUUAGCUAGUACAUGGAGAAUGGGCAUGUUCAAUUUAUUUAUUAAAUAUAUAAUAUAGAAAUCAAUGACACGUUUAACACUUUAACUUAUAGAAACUUAGAAAGUACUACUAGUAGUAGUAUUUUCACAUUAAAAAAUACAACUAAUAAAGCAUUAUUUUUGAUAUAAACUAAAAUACACUUCUUUUAUAAUUUUUAGUAAACUUCUUCAAAAAGAGUUAUGCAGAGACUAUCCCAUCUGAUUUCAAGCUUUGCCACACUCCCACCUAUCUCUUCCAUCUACAUCCCGUUCAAGCUUCUUAUUCUUCGCACUGUUCAUAUUGCUUUCCGGUGAGCAACUUUCUGUCAUCAUCUUGCUCAGUUUCGUGCAAAAUCAUCCUAUUAAAAUUAUAAAUGGAGAAGAUACAAACCGAACUAACCGAGCCGUCCAACCCGCCACCGAUUUCAACCGCACCCGACUAAACCGUUGCUCUUGAUGGUCGGAAGUGAGUCUGUUUUUGUCCUCCUCGGUUUCAUAUCAGAUGGGGUUUUUGGGACCGGAUCCGACCGAUGCCCACCCCUACCCUCAAGGAUUAGGUCCACUUUUUACAG